rnacentral:rRNA from 1 species
AUGAACGCUAGCGGCAGGCUUAAUACAUGCAAGUCGAGGGGUAGCAUGAUUGUAGCAAUACAAUUGAUGACGACCGGCAAACGGGUGCGGAACACGUACACAACCUUCCUACAAGUGGGGAAUAGCCCAGAGAAAUUUGGAUUAAUACCCCGUAACAUAGCGAUGUGGCAUCACAUUGCUAUUAUAGCUUCGGCGCUUGUUGAUGGGUGUGCGGCUGAUUAGUUAGUUGGCAGGGUAACGGCCUACCAAGACGAUGAUCAGUAGGGGGCGUCAGAGCGUGGUCCCCCCACACUGGCACUGAGAUACGGGCCAGACUCCUACGGGAGGCAGCAGUAGGGAAUAUUGGGCAAUGGAUGCAAGUCUGACCCAGCCAUGCCGCGUGCAGGAAGAAGGUCCUCUGGAUUGUAAACUGCUUUUAUCGGGGAAGAAUAGUUUUCUUGCGAGGGAAUGUGACGGUACCCGAUGAAUAAGCCACGGCUAACUACGUG